rnacentral:tRNA from 1 species
UCCCUGGUGGUCAAGUGGUUAAGACUUUCCUUCCAAUGUGAGGGUUGCAGGUUCGAUCCCUGGCCAGGGAA